rnacentral:lncRNA from 1 species
CUCUGUAGAGAUCGCCGUAGGCAUCAGUACGAGAAUUGGAAAGUGCUUGCAGCAAGUUCAUGUUUGACCCAAAACCUGGAAGACUAGCCACACCAAAUGAAUUGCCUACAGAUCCCCACCAGCCAAACAAGCCCCAUAUCAGCGCGGGGUGAGUCCUCCAGUAACUGCAAUUUAUUACAUUUCACAUCAGGAGAUGUCAGAUCAUUAUGUAGUUGAAAGUGCAAUGCUGGUAUACCUCUGUUUCUAUUUUGUUUUAUAUGACAUGUUUCCUUCAAUGGUUUUUGGUAUUGUCUUGUCUAAUCUUGUUAUUUCUUUCUCUGAAUUAGAUCUGCCCAAUAUUUCUGGAUAUUUUCUUUUAAUUUGUGCUGAAAAGAAUCACAUCUUUGUAUGUUUGAAAACUCUAUUGUUUCAAUUUUUUUUACUCUUAGUGACAUGGUCUUAUGAUUAUAGAAAUGUCAUGACAUACUUAAAACCACAAGUUCUCGGUAAAAUUUAGAUAUAUAUGAAAAUAAAUUCUUUCUUUCGUGAACGCUGUACUCAAUCCAAUAAUACUAUGUAAACAGGGAGAAUAAUUUUUGUUUCACUUACUUGCAUGUAAAAGGUGGUGAGUUGGGGUCAAUUGGAAAGACACCUGGAGCACUUGGAGUGCCUGGAUAAAUGAUAGGUGUAGUGGGGGUGGUAGGAGUCGGGGAGUAACCACCCCCUGGAGUGCUUGGAGUUCCGGGGUCAAUGGUAGGAGUAGGUGGUGUUUCAAUGAUUGGAGUAGUUGGGGUAGUAGGUGUAGGGGAAGGAUAGUAACCACCACCCCCUGGAGUGCUUGGAGUACCAGGGUCAACGGUAGGCGUAGGUGGUGUUUCAAUGGUAGGUGUAGAGGGGGUGGUAGGUGUAGGUGUAGGCGAAGGAUAGUAGCCACCACCACCUGGAGUGCUUGGAGUUCCGGGGUCAGCGGUAGGAGUAGGUGGUGUUUCAAUAGUAGGUGCGGAGGGAGUGGAUGGUGUACUAGGGGUACUAGGUGUAGGAGUACUUGGAGUCGGGGAAGGAUAGUAGCCACUUCCACCCCCUGGAGUACUUGGAGUGCCAGGGUCUGGAGUUGGGGUUACAACAGGUGUAGAGGGGGUGGAUGGUGUACUAGGGGUACUAGGUGUUGGAGUACUAGGAGGGCUUCCUCCACCAUGAUGAGCUGGUGGAGAGGGAGAAUAACCACCACCUCCAUGACCGCCUGAUGGAGGAGAUGGGGUAGGGUUAUGGUGAUGAUGAUGCCCUCCACUAGGGGGAGUCGGGUUACCACAGUUACCACCUG